UAGAGUUUGAUCCUGGCUCAGAUUGAACGCUGGCGGCAGGCCUAACACAUGCAAGUCGAACGGUAGCACAGAGAGCUUGCUCUCGGGUGACGAGUGGCGGACGGGUGAGUAAUGUCUGGGAAACUGCCUGAUGGAGGGGGAUAACUACUGGAAACGGUAGCUAAUACCGCAUAAUGUCGCAAGACCAAAGAGGGGGACCUUCGGGCCUCUUGCCAUCGGAUGUGCCCAGAUGGGAUUAGCUGGCUGGUGAGGUAAUGGCUCACCAGGGCGACGAUCCCUGGCUGGUCUGAGAGGAUGACCAGCCACACUGGAACUGAGACACGGUCCAGACUCCUACGGGAGGCAGCAGUGGGGAAUAUUGCACAAUGGGCGCAAGCCUGAUGCAGCCAUGCCGCGUGUAUGAAGAAGGCCUUCGGGUUGUAAAGUACUUUCAGCGAGGAGGAAGGCGGUAAGGUUAAUAACCUUACCGAUUGACGUUACCCGCAGAAGAAGCACCGGCUAACUCCGUGCCAGCAGCCGCGGUAAUACGGAGGGUGCAAGCGUUAAUCGGAAUUACUGGGGCGUAAAGCGCACGCAGGCGGUCUGUCAAGUCGGAUGUGAAAUCCCCGGGCUCAACCUGGGAACUGCAUUCGAAACUGGCAGGCUGGAGUCUUGUAGAGGGGGGUAGAAUUUCCAGGUGUAGCGGUGAAUGCGUAGAGAUCUGGAGGAAUA
rnacentral:rRNA from 1 species